rnacentral:rRNA from 1 species
GAUGAACGCUGGCGGCGUGCCUAAUACAUGCAAGUCGAGCGAACGGACGAGAAGCUUGCUUCUCUGAUGUUAGCGGCGGACGGGUGAGUAACACGUGGAUAACCCACCUAUAAGACUGGGAUAACUUCGGGAAACCGGAGCUAAUACCGGAUAAUAUUUUGAACCGCAUGGUUCAAAAGUGAAAGACGGUCUUGCUGUCACUUAUAGAUGGAUCCGCGCUGCAUUAGCUAGUUGGUAAGGUAACGGCUUACCAAGGCAACGACGCAUAGCCGACCUGAGAGGGUGAUCGGCCACACUGGAACUGAGACACGGUCCAGACUCCUACGGGAGGCAGCAGUAGGGAAUCUUCCGCAAUGGGCGAAAGCCUGACGGAGCAACGCCGCGUGAGUGAUGAAGGUCUUCGGAUCGUAAAACUCUGUUAUUAGGGAAGAACAUAUGUGUAAGUAACUGUGCACAUCUUGACGGUACCUAAUCAGAAAGCCACGGCUAACUACGUGCCAGCAGCCGCGGUAAUACGUAGGUGGCAAGCGUUAUCCGGAAUUAUUGGGCGUAAAGCGCGCGUAGGCGGUUUUUUAAGUCUGAUGUGAAAGCCCACGGCUCAACCGUGGAGGGUCAUUGGAAACUGGAAAACUUGAGUGCAGAAGAGGAAAGUGGAAUUCCAUGUGUAGCGGUGAAAUGCGCAGAGAUAUGGAGGAACACCAGUGGCGAAGGCGACUUUCUGGUCUGUAACUGACGCUGAUGUGCGAAAGCGUGGGGAUCAAACAGGAUUAGAUACCCUGGUAGUCCACGCCGUAAACGAUGAGUGCUAAGUGUUAGGGGGUUUCCGCCCCUUAGUGCUGCAGCUAACGCAUUAAGCACUCCGCCUGGGGAGUACGACCGCAAGGUUGAAACUCAAAGGAAUUGACGGGGACCCGCACAAGCGGUGGAGCAUGUGGUUUAAUUCGAAGCAACGCGAAGAACCUUACCAAAUCUUGACAUCCUUUGACAACUCUAGAGAUAGAGCCUUCCCCUUCGGGGGACAAAGUGACAGGUGGUGCAUGGUUGUCGUCAGCUCGUGUCGUGAGAUGUUGGGUUAAGUCCCGCAACGAGCGCAACCCUUAAGCUUAGUUGCCAUCAUUAAGUUGGGCACUCUAAGUUGACUGCCGGUGACAAACCGGAGGAAGGUGGGGAUGACGUCAAAUCAUCAUGCCCCUUAUGAUUUGGGCUACACACGUGCUACAAUGGACAAUACAAAGGGCAGCGAAACCGCGAGGUCAAGCAAAUCCCAUAAAGUUGUUCUCAGUUCGGAUUGUAGUCUGCAACUCGACUACAUGAAGCUGGAAUCGCUAGUAAUCGUAGAUCAGCAUGCUACGGUGAAUACGUUCCCGGGUCU